AAACUAAAUGUGUCAAAGCAACAGCUCUUGUUGUGCAGGGAAUAACUCCUGUCAGCAGCAAGGUCCCGACUGAAGUGGCAGCUGUAGUUGUUCCUGUGGUGUGGACCAGUGGACUUCCAGGAGAGUGGAAGAAGGCAGAACCUAAUGUGAAUGCAAGAACCUGCCAAGAAAACCAAUGGCCAAGGUGAUUGAUUAGUGUAGGACCUGAGAGAACCCCCUGAAAUGACAACCUCAAGUAGUUUCCAGUAUUAGAUUGAAAAGAUGGCCUUUGCUGCAUCUCCUUGAGCAAGGAAAGCCAAGAAACCUUUGCUUUUGCAGGAGAAAAUCUGGACAGCGGGAAGGAAGAGAAGAAGUCUGAGCCCCAGACAGCGCAGGAACUGCCUUCCUGGGAAUGGUGGGAUGGGCUGGACUCUGGAUUGCUCCCUCUGGAUGUGUGGCUCUCCCCUGCAGGAACUGCAGGAACUCCUGGUGCCGCCUGGGCCGAUGCAUUGGACGCCCCAGCCCCUCCGUUCCUGCCCAGCCACUGGGGCCGUGUCGAGUGGUGGCACUGCCAGCCCUGCAGUGGGAUGGAGCCUGGAAACUGCCCAGAGCUGAGC